CGGGGGGAGCAAGCGUUGUUCGGAUUUACUGGGCGUAAAGGGCGCGUAGGCGGCCAGCACAAGUCAGUUGUGAAAUCUCCGAGCUUAACUCGGAAAGGUCAACUGAUACUGUGCGGCUAGAGUGCGGAAGGGGCAACUGGAAUUCUUGGUGUAGCGGUGAAAUGCGUAGAUAUCAAGAGGAACACCUGCGGCGAAGGCGGGUUGCUGGGCCGACACUGACGCUGAGGCGCGAAAGCCAGGGGGAGCGAACGGGAUUGGAUACCCCGGUAGUCCUGGCCUUAAACGAUGAAUGCUUGGUGUCUGGGGUUAUAAAGUCCCCGGGUGCCGUCGCUAACGCUUUAAGCAUUCCGCCUGGGGAGUACGGUCGCAAGACUG
rnacentral:rRNA from 1 species